rnacentral:rRNA from 1 species
AACGAACGCUGGCGGCAUGCCUAACACAUGCAAGUCGAACGAGACCUUCGGGUCUAGUGGCGCACGGGUGCGUAACGCGUGGGAACCUGCCCUUAGGUUCGGAAUAACUCCCCGAAAGGGGUGCUAAUACCGGAUAAUGUCUUCGGACCAAAGAUUUAUCGCCUUUGGAUGGGUCCGCGUUGGAUUAGCUAGUUGGUAGGGUAAAAGCCUACCAAGGCGACGAUCCAUAGCUGGUCUGAGAGGAUGAUCCGCCACACUGGGACUGGGACACGGCCCAGACUCCUACGGAAGGCAGAAGUGGGGACUAUUGGACAAUGGGCGAAAGCCUGAUCCAGCAAUGCCGCGUGAGUGAUGAAGGCCUUAGGGUUGUAAAGCUCUUUUACCCGGGAUGAUAAUGACAGUACCGGGAGAAUAAGCGCCGGCUAACUCCGUG